GAUCAUGGCUCAGGACGAACGCUGGCGGCGUGCCUAACACAUGCAAGUCGAACAAGAAUCUGUGGAACAAGGAUUCGUCCAAGUGAAGCAGAGGACAGUGGCGGACGGGUGAGUAACGCGUGAGGAACCUGCCUUUCAGAGGGGGACAACAGUUGGAAACGACUGCUAAUACCGCAUAACACAUGGGUGUCGCAUGGCACUGAUGUCAAAUAUUUAUCGCUGAAAGA
rnacentral:rRNA from 1 species